CGUAUGGAUUUCCCUUAUAAUAUUCUUGGGUUCCUUUAACAUUUUGAUCGUCCUUAUCUUCAAAACCAAUCGAGAAGAAUUCAUUUCUCUCUUUUCUUUGUUUUCUCGUUUCUUCUUCUUUCUUCCUCUUCUUCCCUGUUGUUUCGUGCUCGUUCUUCUGUGAGAAGAUUUUUAGUUUUGAGAUCGGAAAACUUAAGAAAAACACUAAGGUUUGGCUGUUGGUGCUCGGGUUGUUUUGGUUUGGCAAGGAAAGCAGAAGAAAUGGUAGAUUGGUUAGAAUCUGGAGUUAGGGUUCUGAUAUUUGGAUUUAACUGAAGUUUAUAUAAAUUGAAAAUGAAGGCAAGUAAUUCAUGGUUGGGUUUAAUGAAUUAAAGGUUUAUAUCGAUGUUUUGAUAUCGAACUGUAGAAGAGAAGUUUGGGAAAGAAAUUAAGGUUUCUGCAUGUUGUUUUGGAAUUCGAAUUGGUCAAAGAUUGAGAUGAUUUAGAUAGAAUUGUAAGAUGGGUUUGUAUAAUUGAAGCUUCUGAAGUUGUUGAGGAUAAAAUCAGAGAGUUAGGGUUUAUGUUCUUCAUCAAAUUAAGAACUAGGGAUUCAAGAGAAGAAUUAAGAUAAUAUUAGAAGGUGGAAUUAAUGUUCUAGGAAAGGAAAUAGAUGAUGCGUAAGCUUAAUUGGAAGUUAUGAGGAAACCGAUAUGAAGAAGAACAAGAAUUGAAAGAUGAUACUGGGAACUAAGGUUAGGGUUUCAUAAGAAGAAACUUGGUGAAGAAAUUCAGAAGAUGUAAAACCUUUUCUCAGUAAGAAUUGAAGAAUUGAUUCAAACAAGAAGAUGAGCUGGUGUCAAUUUGCUGGAAUGGAACUAUUUAAGGUAAAUGUUUCUCUAAGUAAGUUUGUAUAGCCUUCAGUUCAUUGUUGAGUAUAUAUGUUGGAUUAUAAAGAUAAGAAGAGUUGGAAUUAGCUGUGAUUGUAGUUAAUAUAUGUAGGGAGUAUGGCUUUGAUAAGAAUUGAAUGAACUGAAUUCCGGAAGAAAGGAUUGACUAAUCAGUUGUGCGUUGUUCAAGAUGAGAUGUUGAUAAUGAAACGUGUUUAGAACUGGAGAUGAAUUGAUGUUGCAGAUGGAGUCGAGUUCCAAAGUGGUGUUCUGUAGCUACAGAUGUUGUUUCAUGAAAUUGAGAUAUUUCUGAUGUAAUGUUGGUGGUGGUGUGGUCUUGAAUCUGGGUUGAGAGAAUAAAAUCGUAUUGGUUUUGGUGAUUGGUGGUGAUUGCAGGUGAAGUUUGACUUCUUUUGGCUCCAUGUAUUAAUAAAUGGAAAUGGUGGUGAAACUGAGGUGGUGAUUCUAAGAUUUGGAAUUCAUGAUAUUGGUGUUAUUGAACUUAUAGAUUGUGCAGACAGGGACUGAAUUUGGCAUGUUGGUUUCAUUUAGAAUGUAUAAGUGUUGUAGAUACUGCUGAUAAACAGAAUUGAGAAGUUACAAUUGGGGAAUGACUAGUGGCUCGAGAAACGUGAAUUGAAUCUAGUAUUGGAAUUGUGAUGGUAGUGUUGUUGUUCAAGAAGAACUGAAAUACGAAUUCAGUUGAAAUAUGCUAUGUUAUGUUUAGAACUCUUAAAUUUUGUGUGUGCUAACGAGAUGUUUAGGCCAAGUUGGUUGCAAUGCUGUUAUGGAAAAAGUCUUAGUGAAAGCCUGCAAGUGCAGAUCAAGUUAGUCUAUAUUAACAACGAUCGAUUCAAAGGAUGAACCAGUGGAUCGUGGAUCUCGAGGUAGGCGUGGCUUGUCAUCAAAAGAGUUUCAGAGACAGGUCAGAGUUGCGCAGCGGAAGCUUCGAUGAGUCGAGUCCGUAGUUGGCUAACUUCUGCUAUGUUUUUUAUGUUAUAUUUUCUAUUUGUAAACCAAAUGACUAUUAUAUAUGUAUCAUUUGAGAGAAGUUCUUGUAUAUAUAUUUCUGAGUGGGGCUAGUUUUGGGUUAAGUUCUGUAGCAGAUAUCUUAAUGGAAUGUUUAAGUAUUUGAAUUAGAUUCGUAGUGCCUCUUUAUUUAGUUAAUCUCUUGAAUCAGUCAGCUGCUAGAUUGGGGGGCGCUACAGUGUUGGUAUCAGAUCUCUUUAUUAGAUCUUAUAUGGGAAAAGAUAGAAAUAGCCAGUGUCAGUUAGUGAACUAGAUUAGUUUAGAACUGGGUU